GGUGCGGGCCGGGUGGGGGUUGUGCGUGGCUUGGGCCGGGGACGUGCGCGGCGCGGGUCGGGGGCUGUGCGCGGUUUGGGCCGGGGGCUGUGCGCGGUUUGGGCCGGGGCUGUGGGCGGUUUGGGCCGGGGGUUGUGCGCGGUGCGGGUCUGGGGCUGUGCUUGGUGCGGGCCGGGGGCUGUGCGCGGAGUGCGGACCGGGGCCGUGCGCGGGUGCGGGCCGGGCUGGGGCCCUGGCGCGGGGUGCGGGGCCGGGGCGCUCGGGACGCGGGGCUGCUCCGGGGCGCUGUGCGCGGGGUGCGGGGGCCUGGACCCGGAGAGCCUGUGCUGUGGUGGUGCUGGGGAUGCCGAGCCCGGGGCGCUGUAGGCGGGGGUGCACCUGGCGCGGAGCCCGGGGACAGGGAGGGCGCCGUGCUCUGGGGUAGCGGAGGAGCCCGAGUACUGGGCGCUGGGAGCGAGGGGUGCAGAACCGAGGCACGGUGAGCGGGGUUCGGAUCCUGAAUUGGAGUCAGGGAGGCUGUGCCCGGGACCCUGUGUGCCGGGAAUGGUGGCCCCGAGCGCGGUGCGCGGGGCUGCUGGAUGUCGAGCCUAGGGUGCGGCCUGAGGAAGCCGCCAGGGGCAGGGGGGAGGGGCGCGCCAUGGAGGGGGUCUUUCCUUCGGCUGGAACCUGCUCCCUGGGGGCGGGGUCACCGCUCCCUGGGCGCCCUGUGGCACUUCUGGGUGCUGCUGGUCUGGUCACUGGCCUCAGACCCGGAGAACAGGGAAUGAUUCUCUGGCCAUGUGCCGGCCGUGGGGCUCCAGGUGUGGCUGCCAGAAUAUAAAUAAAAGGGACAGAAGGUGGCUCCGUGGGCUGAAGGCGUGCAUGCUUUGCACAUGGGAACGUGGAGGCAGCCUGAGCACCACUGAUGUGGCCCUCACUCAGUCACUUGAUACAAGCCAGGUCCUGAGGGGGCUCUGCAGCUCGUGAAGCAAGGAUGGUACUGGCCGGAUCCUGCACCAGGCCUGGUUGGUGGGGCAGGUGGCGACAUGAGGCUGAGCAGCAGCCCCAGCUUCGUCUGGAGUAGUCAUCACACGGUAGUAAAGUCUCUGCCUCAAAUACUCGGUUGGAUUGGAUUUACCUCCAGUAAAGAAGCUGAUCUUUCCAGUUCCCUCCAUAAAGGUCACGCCCCUGCAUACUCUCAAGCGAGGAGACUCCCCCGGCCGAGGUUCAGGGAGGUGCAGAAAGUGCAGGGGAGGAAAUGCAGCCCCUCUGUGCACGAG